AUGGAGGUAUUAUCCAGCAUUGUACUUAUUUUGGACAACAUCUGCCUCUCUGACACUACCUUAAGAGAGUCCACCUCCAUCCCCAUAAUGUUACCUGCCUUGAGGAUCAAUUUAUUGAGUCUGUUGACAUCCGUGGGUUUGACGUGUUGGACCUUGAGGAUACAGCGCUCACAGUUCAACCGGAGAAGGACGUUGGACAGGAACUGUGACAGAGGAGAUGGUCAGUGAUUAUAAAGGCACGCCGCAUCUGAUGCUGUAUGAUUUGUAUUCAGAAAUUGUUUUUCCUUACACUGGAUAAAGCCUCUAAGAUCACAUCUUUGCUAUCCCGAUUAGAGGAUGAAAGUGAAGCUUUUAGGUGAAAAGUCACUGUUUGGAAAUCUUAAAGCAAGGUACAAAUAAAAAUACACUUAUUUAAGUACUGCAGAUCUUUGAUGUAUAAAAAUGCUAAAAUAGAUAUUUGGACAUUUCAUUGACUGUACCUUUGUCUGAGCUUGUGUCAGUUGUGGAAUCCUUGUUUUUGUUGGAAAUGCCAGCAGUGUUUCCACUUCCUGGGAAAGAUACAACACCCCUGUUAUCCAGAAUUUGCACAGCCGUCUAACAGUCUGAUAGUUGCUGAUAGACUCUAUGUAAUGAUAUAUAGCAGGUGUGUCAAACAUAAAGCCUGGGGACCAGAAUUGGCCUGGCAAGGAUUCCAAUCCAACCCACUGGAUACCUUUGGAAAACGUGACGGAGAACUUAAAAUGUGGACUUUUAACUAUAUUUUCAUAUGUUUUACAACAUUUCCUACUAAUAGAAUAGAAUAGCUUUUUAUUGUCAUUGUAAAUGUACAACAAAAUUGUGGAAUUGUCAUAAAGACUUCCUCCAUGGCUUUUCAUAUUAAAUCUAAAUUAUGUAAAAGAUAAAGAAUUAAAUGACAGAAAAGUUCCUGUUUUUUCCACUAUCUACAGUAGAAAUUCCUUUUUUUUUCUUUUUAAUGGAUAUGCAGUAACAAAAAAAAAAAAAAAAGACUGAAAAUGUUCUAGGCAUUGAGCUACCACAACUACCCAACUUUUAAAAUAUCUUUAAUUGGAGACAAUUUGGCAUUCCAUUGUAGGAGAGUACAUUUCUUGUUGUUUUCUGAAUGAUGAGCUAUUACACAGGCUGGUAUACUGCUGUUAAUAAUGCCACCUUUGCUGUCUUACCAAUGAUUAUGAACAUUUCUGUCAUGAUAUACCGUAGGCCCAUUUAAACCAUG
rnacentral:lncRNA from 1 species